CUUAAACUUUUCUAACGUCUAUUUAGCUACAGCGUUUGGGUUAGCGGGCGUCGGUUGCCUUGACAACGGUUCAACGGCUAGCAGAGAGGAGGGCUAAGUCGGUCCCGGAGUCAUGACUGACAGGCUUCAGUCAUCCCAGAUACACUUGGCCCAGAGCUGACCGUAUGCUUUUAACAGAGAAAAUGAAAUGUCAUGGUUUCAGUUUACCUGUAGUUGUCUGGUUGGAGAGCUAUCUAAUAAACAGGGAACACAAGGUGAUGGAGUACUGGUGGAGGUGACAGGUGUUCCCUAUCUUCACUGAUGAGCUUCGGUGUAUUUAAGCAGCAGGCAGCCAGCAUCUCACCGCUCGAGUGUUAGUCCUUCAGUGAUCGAGACUACCUGGAUACUACUCAGGCUGGAUCACCGCCUUGCUUUGUUAAAGCAUAUUUUUGGAGUACCUUUGUUUCACAGAAGCCACGUCAUUAUUGUUGAAUUUUGUAUUGAUUUUGCAAAUCUAAUCGAUGUUGAAUUAGCAACGUCAUAUUUCUCAACAGGUGAAUUUGCCAACAUUAAAUCAUUACUGAUUUUAGUUUAAAUCUUGCCAAUCUAUCAUCGUGGACAUUUUAAAAUUCCUAUCAAGUCCUGCCUUUUAACAUAGUUUAACACAGAAAUAUAUUUUAAUACUGUUUUCACCUAAGUGAAUUUUCAUCUACAUUACA